AGCCUGAAGUGACAGCUUCAUGCUAAAACUCUAUUCUAGCUUACUCUUCUUCCGACUGCCCCUUCUAUUUCGUUUAAGUUUAUGCCAGGGUUACUGCUCCCUCAUCUUAUUCUUCUUUCCUCUACCAUUUCAUAGAAACAGCCCACAGAAGUAAUGGGAAGUGAGAGUUGGAAAAGACCUCAAAAGGCAACAUUACAUAUCUUCCUUUUUCUGUUUUCAUCAUGUGUAUUCUACAGAAAGGACACGGGUAAUCAUCCCCCUGAUGCCAUUGGGACUGCUCAUCAAAUUAUGAUGCAUCUGUACCAAACAUGACAGAACAGAACUAUAUGAAAGCCAAGAGAGAAAAGGAAAAAAAGGAAAGUAAUUCUGCAUGAUUAAUGUAAAAGAGUGGAAAAUUAUAUCAGACUGUUAAUGAGCCUUGACCUAGCCACAAUAAUCAACUACUGGUGGUGGUCACGGCAUCCAUCAGUUAUGGCCCUCUCUCUGUGAAGGGAUAUUUUCAAAUCAGUCAAAUAUGAUUAUGUUUUAUGAGUAUAUGAGUGCAGUAAAAUGUCAUAAUUCAAAACCAUUAACGCUGUUAUUCUGACUAAUAUCAGAUGUGACUACUGUGAUUUGACCAUUUCUGGUCAAUAAUUUUAACAACUUUUCCAAAUUUACAUCUGAAUAUAACCACAGUACUUCCUCAUCAUUCAUGCUCUUGCUGUGAUUAAUUUGCCAAGACUUUUUAAAUAUGAAGUAACCUUCAUUUGCUAGAGUAGGUUUGCAUUUCUUAAAUUUAUUUGAAGAUUUAAACAUACUAGUAUCUGUUUAAAUAAAAAUUAGAAUGUUAAUUUAUACUUAAGGAACCAUGCAUUUGUGUUCAUCUGACACUAAUGUAACAGCACUGAGCUAAACCUGAAAAAUGUUUAAUUUGGGGAUAGGUAUUGUAGGCUUUUUUUAUGUUAUAGAACCAUACAGCAUACUGUGAGUGUAAUCUCCUAAAAAAACCUACUAAAGUCAGCUAAAAAGCUAUAAGAGUAACACCUGUGUUGUUUGUGAUGAGAUUAGAAAUUUUGCGGUAUGAAUAAACCCUAAGGAGGGUGUUUAACUUGGAACUGGCCACUGCCGGGCCGCAGAUGCUGAAGAGCUCUAUGUGAGAUGCAGAGAAGGGGAGUCUGGUGGCUGGUGGACCCUGCAGAAAGACAAUGCCUUUAGGCCAGGAAACACAGGAUCAAGCAAUGCAGCAGGCUAAGUGACAGAAGUUGGAUGCUUGUUGGGAGAAAAAGGCAUGAACAAAAGCAAGGGAUUUGAGGAGAUUUAAGUGUAGUGUUCCAGUAAACAAAGCUACACUGUUCCUAGGAAGUACCAGCUCUUCCUAGUAACACCCCCCUGUGAGGGCUGUAGUACUGAUAAGAUGUGCUUAUACUGUCCUUUAGAUAUUUGGAAUCUACCUGGAUUUUCCUUAAUCACUCUCUGUCACAGUGACUUCAUAUAGGUAACUAAUAUGUCCCUCACAUACUGAUAAAUAUUAUUGAAUAGUAUUUAUGCCUUAUAAUAACUUUUUAGCUUAGGGCGGCACACCGUAAAUCAUAAUUUUUUUGCACAAUGAUGGUAUGUCACAAAAUGACAGAAAUAACUGUUCCAUGCAAGCGUUGAUGGUGGUGAGAGGAUUCUUCCUGGAUUUCUAUGAUGAAGGCCCAGCACCCAAUGGCUUAAUAAAAUAACUGUUUUAAUAAAACAGAAUAAAAAGAGGAAUACAUGUGGAAAGUAAGUCUUCCAUCUUUUUGAUUCUGGGAGGCCUGCUUUCAUGCAACAUUGGAUAGGUCCUGGACGGAUUUUCCCAUGGCAUGCUGCAUGGGUACCAUCCGUGGAGAGGUUCCUCCUCCCUCCCAUGCUGUGGUGCCUUUUGUCUGUGUGAAAAACAAAACCAUACAUUUUUUUCUGACAGACUGGAUGUUACCUCUGUCAUAACACCCACUAGUGUACAUUGGUGGCUGGCACAGGGUACUCCGGUGAGUUCCCUUACAGUGGCUACUCAUGCUAACAUACGCAUUAUAUUCCACUGCUGGUUUUGCUCCAUCUCUAUAAGAGUAUACUAAGAGAUAAAUUACGCUGUUUGAGAUUUGAUAUAACCAAUAUUUUAAUAGCAUGUGAUUUUCUUUCUUUUAAGUUAGGCAGCUUGAUUCCCUUCUGACGGAUCUAGGGAGUUCUUAGAUGGCGUUCUUGUGUACCUGACAUGUGAUCCAUUAUACACACCUUGGGGAACAAUGAGAAGCUGUACUGAUGAAGUGUCAUGGGGAUUUUGCAGAAACAUCAGGGGAGACUUAGCAAGAGGAACAGCCACAUAUCAUCUUCUACACUGGUUGGAGAAUAACUCUGGAAGCAUACCCAGUAAUGGAGGCAGACAAGAUUUUCCUCAUACUUCUCAUGGGGUGAAGGAGCCCUGAUAUAUCCAGAAGACAGCAAAACAGAUGGAAUUUGACUCUGUUGAAAUAAGAUGAACAGUGUGUAACAUCCUGUAUGUCAUUCUGGACUGUUUUCCUCAAGGCUUCACUGAUUGAUGUGAAACUGGGUUAGACUCACCUACCUUCUACUGAAGUAAUUGAACUAGUGGAACAAUGUGCACAACAUUGUGAGCAAAGCCAGAAGGAGUUCCUCUACCAGGAUGUGAGAACUCUAAGUCACAAGUUGUACAAUCAAAGUGUUUGGGUGGGAAAACACAUGCAUGUCAAUAAUCUCCUUGUGGGCUACCCUGAGACCACUCUGUGUGCACACAAAGCUAUGUGGUUAAAGCACAGCAGUCUGGAGAACAAGCUGUGGCAUCCUUGAAGUGUUCUCUGAACCAAGUGUAGUUAUUUGGGGAACUGCAAGAAGAAGAAAAUACUAUUGUUCCAUUAUCCCUAAUAUUUAAGCCAAAAUUUAAGAAAAUUCAAUCAGUAUUUUUAUAUGAGUCUUCAAGUUGUGAGGUGAAUUUAGCACAGUCUUGGGUCUUUUUUUAUGCUUGCAAUUUGUUACGUAACACACAAUGCAUGCUGACCAAGGAAUGCACAUGUUUCUGCAGAACCUGAAUGACACCAGUUUCUUCCCUUUUCCCACAUAAAAAGUUUAGUCUUCACUGGCUACCAGCUGUGCUCAAGUACAAGUAUCUCUGUCCCUUUUCAGAUCUUGUGUUUUGACAUUUGUUAUCACAACUCAUGACUUUCACGUUGUGCAAUAUAAAUGCUUGUUGCUGACCUUGAUAAGAUCUUGGUCUCCAUAUUACUUUGUGGCAGAGCUCCAAUGCUAAUUGUGUCAAAAAUGUUUUCACUUCUCAGCAUUGAUUCUCCUGCCUUUCUAUUUCACUGAAGUCUCUUUAUUUCCCUCUUACGGAAAAAGAUGAAUUCAAGUUCCUUAGCUGCCUUCACUAUCAUGGCCCAUUCUGUCUUUCUUUUCUCUGAAUUAAAUACUUUCUGUUUUCAGUCUCUAUUGCUAGGAGAACCUUUCCAUGCCCCUCUCUUCUUCUAAUUAUAUAUCAGAAAGAAUGCCAAUGGUCUAAAUAUGUCCCUUGGGGUGAUCAGCCCAAUGUACCAACAUUAGCUAAGGAGAAGAAUUAAUGAACUUGGACACAGGGUUACACAUUUGAAGUAAGUUUUACAUUUCCAUCUCUUUUCUAUUUUUGUAAUUAAAAAUUUUAAAUAUCUUUGAAGUAUAAUAUAACUAACAAAAUUAAUGCUUUUUAAACUGAAAUAGACCCCGCCUGAGGCAACAUUGAAGUUCUUGAUUUGAAUAAGUGCUUUGGGCUAUAACAACAUCUGUUCAUGCAUUUAACUUUUCAAGCUCUUUUACAACAGAAACAAAAUGAGAUUUUAUUAUGACUGCUUCAUAUGUGGCUUUAAAACUGUGUAUAGUAAAUGUUAAGACUGACUAUUUUAAAAAGUGACUAAAAAUUCAAUAUUUAAAAACAGUGAUUAAAAAUCCUUCAGUUGUAAGCACAGAAUAAAACUUAUGCAGCUUUUAAAACUUUCAAAUAAUCCACAGAUACACUAGGUGAAUGUGCAGAUUAGCCUGAAUUUCUCUUUGUGACUAGAAUAUAUUAAUCCUUCACUCAGUUACCCACAUAUCUCCAAUACCGAUUCACUUUUCUUAUUCAAUUACUUACAUUACCUAUCAAAUCAAAUUAUCUGUACCUUGAAUAUACUACAAACUCCCUAUCAAAAUUUAGAACACCAGCUAUGAAAUUAUAUUAUAUAUCUCUCAGUAAGUGAUCACAUUAGAAAAGGUAUAUAGCAUACUUGAUAGUAAUAUAAUUCGAUACAUUUUUAGAAUGUAAAAUGUGGUUUGCUGAAGUAGAACUUCCUUGACACUUUCAGAAACUGUAGAUUUUUAAGCCAUCAUAUUAUCCCAUUAAAGAAUUAUUGUUCCUGGCAGUUCCUGAUGGAUACUGGGAACUGCAGAUUGGUAAAAUGGUCAUAAUUAAUGAGAUUCUGUGGUAAAUUGUUUGUGUUCUGUAGGUCAAAAUAAAUAAUUGUGAUUGCCCAUUUUCAAUCUAAAAAUACAGCUGUUUAAAAGACAAUUUAAAAAUACGAAUUCACAUAGAAGCCAUCAAUUGCUUUGGACAGUAUUUGCAGUGAUUUCCACUUUUAUUCCUUUCUGUAACCACAUACAUGAAUUCUUCCUCACUAUUCAAGAAUGUUUGUGAAGAGGAAAUAUGAAUACUUUUAUGGGCAAGAAGUGUUCAUGCAAAUAUGUGUUUGCAUAAAUGUUUUUACCAUUAUUAUCUUUCAAGGUCUGUUCCUGUUCGUAAACAUUCAAUAAGGAAGAAGCACACAGAGUCCUUCAGAAAAAGUAAAUCCUUGAAAUAACUACUGAAAUGAAGAAUUAAUGAAAACAGUAAUGUGUCUCCAUGAAAAAGUUGCAUAAUAAAUUUUAGUAAAGAAGAAUCCCAAAGAUAAAAACUCCCAUUGCUUGCUUCCCCAAACAGAAGACUGCAAUGGAUGCACUUGUUAAAUUAUCAAGUGUUUAACAAUAAAAC